rnacentral:guide_RNA from 1 species
AAACCACACGAGAAUUACGAAUGAUGAUGAAGGUAAUAAAU